rnacentral:rRNA from 1 species
AGCAGUCGCGGUAAUUCCAGCUCCAAUAGCGUAUAUUAAAGUUGUUGCAGUUAAAAAGCUCGUAGUUGAAUUUCGGGACCAAUAUGUCUGUCGUGCCUUCGGUACGUACGGGUAUAAUUGGUUCCUACCUUCUGAUGAACCUUGAUGCCAUUAAUUUGGUGUCUUGGGGACUCAGGACUGUUACCUUGAAAAAAUUAGAGUGUUUAAAGCAGGCAUGCGCUUGAAUACAUUAGCAUGGAAUAAUGAAAUAGGACGUUCGAUUCUAUUUUGUUGGUUUCUUAGGAUCGACGUAAUGAUUAAUAGGGAUAGUUGGGGGCGAUUAGUAUUCAAUUGUCAGAGGUGAAAUUCUUGGAUUUAUUGAAGACUAACUACUGCGAAAGCAUUUGCCAAGGAUGUUUUCAUUAAUCAAGAACGAAAGUUAGGGGGAUCGAAGACGAUCAGAUACCGUCGUAGUCUUAACCCAUAAACUAUGCCGACUAGGGAUCGGAUGAUGUUAAUUUUUUAAUGACUCAUUCGGCGC